rnacentral:rRNA from 1 species
UACGUAGGGUCCGAGCGUUGUCCGGAAUUAUUGGGCGUAAAGGGCUCGUAGGCGGUUUGUCGCGUCGGGAGUAAAAACCUACAGCUUAACUGUGGGCUUGCUUUCGAUACGGGCAGACUUGAGGCAUGCAGGGGAGAACGGAAUUCCUGGUGUAGCGGUGAAAUGACGCAGAUAUCAGGAGGAACACCGGUGGCGAAGGCGGUUCUCUGGGCAUGUUCUGACGCUGAGGAGCGAAAGUGUGGGGAGCGAACAGG